rnacentral:lncRNA from 1 species
UGAGAGAUGGCCAUGUGUAUUCAGCAAGGCUACUGGGAGAUUCUCCCUGGGAUUUUCAGGAGAAGGGCUGUCAUCUCAGAUGCCACAGUAAAAGGGGACCCAGAACUUCCACACUUCUGUCUGAUCAGCUCAUUUCUGAAGUCAGGAGCUAAAUUCACUUCAGGGACCUCCAGAAGUGAAAUACACACUCUUUGGAGUCAAACUGGGCUGAACACAACCGAUGACCUACAAUGUCCCCAGUUGAACCCGAAGGACAUCAUCAGGGACUCAGUUGCAGCUGUGGAACCACCAGCACCACCAAGGAUAUCCACAAUGUACUAAAAGAGAAACUCUAAGUAGAAAAAACACACAAAAAGCAUUAUAUCCAU